CCUACGGGUGGCAGCAGUGAGGAAUAUUGGUCAAUGGUCGGGAGACUGAACCAGCCAAGCCGCGGGAGGGAUGAAGGUACAGAGUAUCGUAAACCUCUUUUGUCAGGGAACAAAGGCGGGGACGUGUCCCCGGAUGAGUGUACCUGAAGAAAACGCAUCGGCUAACUCCGUGCCAGCAGCCGCGGUAAUACGGGGGAUGCGAGCGUUAUCCGGAUUUGGUGGGUUUAAAGGGUGCGCAGGGGGGCGUUUUAGUCAGCGGUCAAAGCGCGUGGCUCAACCCCGGCCCGCCGUUGAAACGGGCAGUCUCGAGUUGGAGAGAAGUAUGUGGAACGCGCGGUGUAGCGGUGAAAUGCAUAGAUAGCGCGCAGAACUCCGAUUGCGAAGGCAGCAUGCCGGCUCCACACUGACGCUGAGGCACGAAAGCGUGGGUAUCGAACAGGAUUAGAUACCCGAGUAGUC
rnacentral:rRNA from 1 species